CAAGAUGUGCGCGUUUACUCCGUGCCGAUUUGCAUGAGAAGACUUUGCACCAUAAAACCACAAUAAUAACCUCGGGAUUUAUUAACUUUGAAUGCAUGGUGUUGAUUGCAUCAUCCGUAUUUUCAAAUUCCCACAUUCAAAAGACCCGCCUUUGGUGAAGGCAAAGGUGUUGUGCUAUUCUUUCCGAGGGGCGGAUUCCUUAUCAGCCUUUUCAGUGUAUGUGAUUCUAACUAAGUCUUAUAGAUCCGCCGCUCUGUUCGACCUAUACUGUGAACAUAGGAUUUCUGUGAUUCUGUUCUAAGUGUUCUUUUAAAAUUCAGUGAAUGGAUUAGACGCCGUUUUCACCCUUUAAAAACCCGGUGACUCGAAAGAAAAUAAAUUAAAACUUGUACCGAGAAUGGAAUUUAAAUGUGAUUAACAUAUUGAA